rnacentral:tRNA from 1 species
GCAUUGGUGGUUCAGUGGUAGAAUUCUUGCCUUCUGUGCAGAGGACCCAGGUUCACUUCCUGGCUAACGUG